CUCUGGCUGUCUCUCUCUCUGUCAGAUAAAUAAAUAAAAUCUUAAAAAAAAAUUAUGUGUGGAUUUUCGACCACACAGGGGUCAGCACCCCUAACCCUGCAUGGUUCAAGGGUCAGCUAUAGUUUGAGAUCAGAAAGAGUGACACCUCUGGUUUUGUUCAUUCUCAGGAUUACUUUGGCUUUUUCAGGUCUUUUGUGGUUCCAUACAAAUUUUAGGAUUGUUAUUUCUUUUUUUUUUCUUUUUUCUUUUUCUUUUUUUUUUUCAAUGUAGGCUCAACACCCAGUGUGGGGCUUGAACUCACAACCCUGAGAUCAAGAGUCGCAUGCUCUACUGACUGAGCCAGCUAGGCGCCCCAAGAUUGUUAUUUCUGUGAAAUAUGCCACUGGAAAUUGAUAGGGAUUGCAUUGAAUCUGUAGAUGGCUUUAGAAUGAGAGCACAGGCCUUGCCUUGUUCAACACUAUGUCCCCAGCAUGCAAAAUACUUCCAGAUACUAUUGGUUGGUGUAUAGUAUUUGCCGAACGAAUGAGUUAGAUGUGGAACUGAAAAAGGAGGACUUGCAGAAAACAGAGCUCCCUCCAGAAAGGAUCUAGUUCCAGCUGUUAAAUGGCUGAGAGAAUCAUUGGGAAGACCGAGGAAGCCGACUCCAGACUGAACUAGGAAGAACAGCCACAGCCCCACGGUUGGGCCAAGGAGUUGCUGUUGAUGCCACAACAUGGCAGUUGCUCAGAGACUCUGGCAGCUGCUUUACCUACAAAAUACACCAACAGAGUGGAUGCCAUGUGUUCUCCCGCACUGGACUCCUUUCCAAAUUCAAGUGUCAUGGGGGUGCAUCUGAUUGUAACGCUUUAAAAAGGCAUUUUAAAUGGUCCUUAGCAGCACGGACAUCCAACCGUGGAGGCCUGGGGCUUCUAUGAGAGCCCUCAGAAGUGGCUCCGGCAUGUGAACACCACCAUCACGUUAGCAAAUUACAACAGUGAGAGGAGCUGAUUACAUAGCAGAUCUAGCCAAUAGGUUGCAGCUUGCAGAGAAACGUAAUCAGUGGGAAGUUUUGUGGUCAAUCACUAGAAAUUGGGGAGCAUCAGAGGAAAGGACCGCUGCUCUCAGUCCACGCUUGGGAAGAUGGAAAGACGAGUGAAGAAAACGCUGAGAAAGCAGAGCAAUGAGGAAGAACUAAAGUUACCGGAUACUAACGGUGUGGCGUGACAGCUGACUGACGGGGGCAGGACAAAGAAAGGACAGAAAGUCCAGAAAUAUUCCCAAAUACACACAGAAAUCUAGUAUAUGACAAAUGUAGCAUCUUAAAAAACUCUUUUUUGCCAUGUAGGAUAAACAACUGUCAAAGGAUGCAGGAGAAAACUAGCCAUAGUGGCUACUAGUUUCUGACAGGGAAAGGGGGUUGCAGUGGGAACUGAGUUUGGGGGUCAAGGGUGAAGAAAAUUGUGUUCUUUUUACGUUUGUGAUUGAGUCAUGUAUUUCCUAUUGAAAAAAUUAAACAUUAAAACAACUCACAGUGUCAA